AGCCUAGGAGAUACACCUGUACCCAUGCCGAACACAGCAGUUAAGCCCUAGAACGCCUGAAGUAGUUGGGGGUUGCCCCCUGUUAGAUACGGUAGUCGCUUAGCA
rnacentral:rRNA from 1 species